UCCCCGCUAUCCAUCGCUCUGCCGUUUGGAGAGCAUCUUUUAGCUUAUGCUCAGUUCCUUACAUGCCCUACCCUCUCCGUACUGUCAUUUUCUAUAUCUCACUUGCUCUUUCUUGAACUUCCUCUUGUGAAGACCACCUUGUUGCCAAGUGGUUACCUUCCUCUACCCAUAAUAUUGUGGCAGUUGGUAUUAUUAAUUACUCUUUCUCAAGAGUCUCUUUCCAUGAUUUGCACAUUCGGCUCUCAUGUAAAGGGUUUUUUUUUUUGUUUUGUUUUUUUUUGAGAUGGAGUCUCACUAUAUAACCUAGAAUGGCUCUGAACUCUCAGUCCUCCUACUUCUGCAUCCCCAGUGCUUGAACUACAGACCUGAACCACCAUGCCCAACCUCUAAUGUCAUGCUGUCCUCACUUCUUACAAUUUAGUGAACUCCUAGGGUUCAUUACUACAGGUGAAAAUAGGCAUGUCAACGUGUGACACAUGUUUAGAGACCAACGCACUGUGAUGGGCUUGGUCCUCAGUCAGGGAGUCAGGGAGGACGUCACUGAGAAAGCGACCCCGGAGCCGGGGCCAUCAAUGCCAAGACCCAGGGAAGAGAACUCUGGUUAAAAGGGAACAGCAAAGGCAGGAUCCUGGUUGAGGAAAAGCGCCCCUGGGGUGGGGGCUGCAGGAGGGGAGAGAGUCAGGCAGGCUCUGACCGCCACUGAUGGGCUUCACAGGUCAGAACAAGGAGCCUGCCUCUUAGCCAAUCACUGAGAACAUUAUGGGAGGGAACUGGGAAACAUUCAACUCACUGCAGUAUAAUUCACAUACAUUAAUCCUCACCCAUUUGAGAGUGUACUUUAACCCAUGCAGCUGUCACAAUAAAUAGGAUUAAAGGGCUUUUCUCACCUCGAGGUCCCUGUUACCCCUUCCCAGUCUUAGCAUUUUAUGAUCCAGCCUAAUGUUUUUGAGCAUAGCUCCAAUGGGCUAAGGGUCAUCUCCGCAUACGCUAUCCAGUUGUCUUAGCACCCAGCUGUAGGAAAGACUGGUCUUUUCUCCAGUGGACUACCUUGUCUUCCUGUCAAAGGCCAUCAUAUACAGGACCAUCGGCCUCACUCACCUGCAGAGUCUGCCAUGCCUCUGACACACGGGAUGCUAAGCCUAUUUGUCUGCUGAGGGAAUGAAUGGAGACCUCUCCAAGGGCAGGGAUGUCGGCACCAGUUUCAAACACAGUCGACCCCCAGAGUAUUAUUGCUGGCACCUUUCCAUCCAUGGGGACAAGUCACUUGUUUAGUUACACAAUGGGGUUUUGUCACAACAUCUACGAGUCACCACUGUUUUCACUGGCGCCCAGGUGAUGCCCUGAGCAGAAGAGAUGCCUUCCAGUGGAAGCCACAUUCCUGACAAGUUUGCACGGAUCCACAAAGGAGGGGAAUGGGAAGGCAGGCUUGUCCAGAUGCUGAGGGCGGUGGUAUGGAAUGCUGAAGACAUGAGCACUCUCCUUGUUUACAAAGGUCACCCCAAUCAGGACUCAGUGGCUGCUGAUGCAGCAGUUGCUAAGAGAGAAGAAAGAGUCAGGGCCUGAACAGAAAGCAACAGGGAAAGAAAAGGAGUGUAUGG